GCCCGGCUGGCGCAAUGGUAGCGCGUCAGACUUCUAUCUAGAGGUUAAUCUGAAGGUUGCAGGUUCGACCCCUGCGUCGGGUG